rnacentral:lncRNA from 1 species
UGGACUGAGAGUUACUUCCCAAGAACAGUUGCAAUGGAAGAAGGAAUAUCGGAUAGUAUCUUCAAGAUUGGUUUGAGAAAUGUCCAACGCCAAGUUUCUGAGCUUCGAGUUUAAGUGACUUGAGGUACUGAACAGCUUCAUCAAGUACAGAAGCUGUAUUCAUCUCGUCCCCUCCAGGGACUAUUCUCCUCAACACUCCCAUCAUUUUCUUCAUCUUUCUCCUUCCUUUCCCAUCAUUGUUAGAACUACUAGCACUUCCAGAUAAACUCUGCUUCCUUCUUGAGCUAUUAUAUCCAGAGCUCGAGUUACGAGCAGUGCUGCUGACCUCUUCUGAAUCACCACCAUCCUCACUCUCAUCAUCAUCAUCAUCUUCAUCUGUGCUCAAGAGAGCAUCAAUCUCAUUAGGAUCUUCUUGGUGAGAAGAAGAGGAUGAUACUUCUUGUUGGCCCAUGGCGACUCAAGACGAAGACUUUUAAAGCCAAAAAGAGUUUUUUUUUUUUUUUUUACGUGUUCCAGAAGUCAUCAGUUCCUCUGCCGUUUGUUUUAGGUUAACUUCUCUCAUUAGAAAUAUCAGUGAAUUUCUCAAUCUCAGCCGUCUAUUUGAGGUGUAUCCCUGAAAUUCGCUGAAAUGUAUUAUAUACGGUAACAACUAUAUAAAAUAAUAAUGUUAAGAAUUUGAUAUUUUUUAUAAAAAAAUACAAAAAGUUUCUUUUUUGUUUAAUUAGAUUCAUUUAUUUUAAAGUAUGUUUCAUAUAACUUAAGAAAAUUGUUUAUUUACUGUAGACUCAUAUGAAGAUUUUUACUUUUGACAAAGCCAAAGAGUUUCUUUUUCUUUUACGUGUUCAAACCUUUGAGUCUGAACCUCUUCUCUAAAUCUCAGCCGCUUGUUUUAAGUUAACUUCUCUCAUUGGAAACAUUUUCAAUCUCAGCCGUCUAGUGAGAGGCGUAACCUGAAAUUCGCUGAAUUUUUUUUUUUCAACUAAAAUAUUAUUUAUUAGACAAAGGUGUGGGAGGCGACAAAAGACAAAAGUGAUUGUCCCUUGAGCCGACAAAAGAAAAAAAGUGAUGGCACUUGCAAUGUUUCACUAUAUGAUGAACUUGUCAUCAGAAGACCAAAUGUUUUUUUUAAGAAGCAAAAUACAACAUUACAUGCCCAAGCAAAAAAGCAGAUCACAAACCAUAAUAGUUCAUGGCUACAAAUGAUUACAGUGUAAGUUCCAGCCAUACAAAUCAAAAGGCUCAAAGCAAAUCCACAAGUACACCUUGUGCAACACAUAAAAUGAAACAACAUAUAUAGAGAGAGAGAUUCAACAUACUGUUAUAUCUAAGUACCAUAGAUAUACCAUAGAGAGAGACAGAGUGGUCCAGAUAGUGCUGGACUGAGAGUUACUUCCCAAGAACAGUUGCAAUGGAAGAAGGAAUAUCGGAUAGUAUCUUCAAGAUUGGUUUGAGAAAUGUCCAACGCCAAGUUUCUGAGCUUCGAGUUUAAGUGACUUGAGGUACUGAACAGCUUCAUCAAGUACAGAAGCUGUAUUCAUCUCGUCCCCUCCAGGGACUAUUCUCCUCAACACUCCCAUCAUUUUCUUCAUCUUUCUCCUUCCUUUCCCAUCAUUGUUAGAACUAC